GCAUCGGGGUGUUUCGUGCCGCCCCGUCAGUUGAUGUUCUUGAAUUGGUUUGAAGGGAGAUCAAAGGGUCCCUCCGAUCGGAGAGCCUGCUGUCGGAGAGAGAGAGGCUGCUCCCUCGACCGAACCCGCGGGCUCUGCUGAUCAAGCCGUCACAUGUGCCUUCCGUUUCCCUCCGCCCUGGCAGGGAGCACCACUGCGGGGACGAACAUGGGAACAUUUUUUGUUUUUCACUUUUGACCUCUCCUGGUGUGUUGACGUCUGCUGAAGCGCGAUGACGUCCGUUUUUCUUUUUCUUCACCCCACAUUGCACCUCUUUGCGUUGUUUUGGGGGUUGUUGCCAAAGCUCAUUUGGUACAUUGUUGACUGAAUUCGCUCUACUGCAGAGAGCACUGUUCAUUUUCUUAAUCAUGUUUCUCACAUCUCUAUGUUGAGGGACCCAGUCUUCCCUCGUGUGACAUUACAAAUCACAUUCCCUCUGUAAAAUGUUUGUUCUGUUCCUCAUGAAGAGUGUGCAUCAUGAAUGCACAACCACCCCUACCAUUUGCCUCCAUGUUGUCUACCCCCAGCCCCCUGUAACCCCUCCAGCNNNNNNNNNNAAUACGCGCUUCAAAAGGCUCAGAGGGAUGAGAGGAUUGUCGGUGGCACGGUCACACACAGCGACAAGAAGACUGCUUGGGUGAGUGUCAUUUCAGACCUACUGUCCAUGAAGUGCUUGUUUGCAAUAAGCUUUGCUCUUGUUUGCCAUUAGUCUUAGACCCGGUGAGAACAGGUGACGUGUAUGUUUGCGUUGAAAGGAAGUGGUGAUAAGUGAGAAUUAAUGCACAAGCACACUCCCCACACUAUUUGUCACACACACACACACACACACACACACACACACCCUCUAUCUCUCUCACACACACACACUCAUGCACCAACACAAAUGCACAAUCACUCCUAUCUGAUCAGCGAAAGAUGAACUAGUGUCAUUCAGGCCCCCACAAGACAGAGGGGUUUGUUGACGGUUGGGUUUCUCUCUGUCUAUGCGUUGUAACCUGCCUUCGUUAAGCCCCAGCUAGGCCUUAAAAUGCAUCCGUUGCUCCCCGAGGGGAGGGUUGCACCACCAGAGCCUCUGGGCUAAUGGCCAUGAGCGGCCAGCCCAUUAGGCCCCUGUUAUUGGGACUCCCUCAUUAGCAUCUGGGCCCAUUGUGUGGCCAAACAAUGGCAACAAACAAAACAUUAACAUGGAAAUGGGCGAAAUGUACCUAAUUAGUUUUCUG
rnacentral:lncRNA from 13 species